GGGAGUAGCUGGCGGCCUGGUGGCGCCCGCGGACUUCAAAUCCGUUUGGUGGGCUGAUGAGGUCCAUGGUGGGUUCGAUUCCCAUCUACUCCCGCCA
rnacentral:tRNA from 1 species